GACGAACGCUGGCGGCGUGCUUAACACAUGCAAGUCGAACGGAGAGGCCUGUUUGGUGGGGUCCUCGAAUGGCGGACGGGUGAGUAACAGGUGAGUAACAUGACCCUGACUUUGGGAUAACUUCAGGAAACGGGGGCUAAUACUGGAACGGAGCUCGUGCUGCAUGGUGGGGGUUGGAAAGUUUCGGCGGUUGGGGAUGGAUUCGCGGCUCAUCAGCUUGUGGGUGGGGUAGUGGUUUACCAAGGCUGUGACUGGUAGCCGGCCUGGGAGCGUGACCGGCCACAUUGGGACUGAGAGACGGCCCAGACGCCUACGGGACGCAGCAGUGGGGAAUAUUGCACAAUGGGUCGAAGCCAGAUGCAACAACGCCGUGGUCGGGAUGACGUCUUUCGCGUUGUAAACCGCUUUCGCUCAUGACGAAACAUUGUGUGACGGUAGUGGGUAAAGAAGCACCGGCUAACUACGUG
rnacentral:rRNA from 1 species